CUGCCUUUGCGCUAAUCAGGUCCCCUUAUAUAUCCGGCCAAUUGUGACUUAUUCUAGUUAGCGAAGAAGGUGUCGCGUGCUUUCUUCCUCCUUAUAGACAUACGAAAGUAUAGACUAAACUACUCAUUCAUAAACAGAAUUUUAAACCGAGCAGUCAUUGAAGUUUAGGAAAUCUGUUUCAAAAAGAUGAGUCCUCUUUUCCAUUGCAUAGCAAACACAAGCCAUCCAUUGUUGGUUACUGCUCUCAGGAAAACGAGCACAGAAGUUUGCAGUUCCGUUCCUACUCAGGCGGAUGAUGCAAAGCAGACAGACAGUGACUGUCGGCACACGCGUUUGGCAAAAUUCUCGGGUUCACUUUGACCGACGCAACGGUGCCCAUCCCAUUCACGGGUGCAUUUUCCUCCAUAAGGUUGCACAUCUUCUCAAAUAUAUUCAAUCAACAGGUAUAAGUGAAAAGUAAGCAAAAUGUGUGGUAAUAAAAUAUAUGUCGGUAGAAUUAUAGUAUUUACUUUGUUUUUAUUAAUUUAACGCAUCUAGUUAUAAGAAGUUUAAGAAUUUUGAAUGAGUAAUGCAUAAAUCUCUUUUUUAUGCAAACGUAGUCACAAGGCCGGCAUUUUUGACCUGAGAGAAGAACACGACAAGUUUAGUUUAGUUUAGUUGGUACGGUCGAGGCGUUCGGAGAAUGGGCUUGUGAAUUCGUUCUGCUCAUUACGGAUUUGUUUAUUAAAUUUAAUUUGUUCUUUCUUGUGAAUUUAUAUAAUAGAAAUAAAUCAUAAUAUCUGAAA